rnacentral:tRNA from 1 species
GGCCCGUUGGUCAAGCGGUUAAGACACCGCCCUUUCACGGCGGUAACAUGGGUUCGAUUCCCAUACGGGUCA